AUUGAACGCUGGCGGAAUGCUUUACACAUGCAAGUCGAACGGCAGCACGGGGGCAGCCCUGGUGGCGAGUGGCGAACGGGUGAGUAAUACAUCGGAACGUGCCCGGUCGUGGGGGAUAACGUAGCGAAAGUUACGCUAAUACCGCAUACGAUCUGAGGAUGAAAGCGGGGGACCUUCGGGCCUCGCGCGAUCGGAGCGGCCGAUGUCAGAUUAGGUAGUUGGUGGGGUAAAGGCCUACCAAGCCGACGAUCUGUAGCUGGUCUGAGAGGACGACCAGCCACACUGGGACUGAGACACGGCCCAGACUCCUACGGGAGGCAGCAGUGGGGAAUUUUGGACAAUGGGCGCAAGCCUGAUCCAGCCGUUCCGCGUGCAGGACGAAGGCCUUCGGGUUGUAAACUGCUUUUGUACGGAACGAAAAGGCUCUGGCUAAUACCUGGGGCUCAUGACGGUACCGUAAGAAUAAGCACCGGCUAACUACGUG
rnacentral:rRNA from 1 species